rnacentral:lncRNA from 1 species
GCAGGACAGGUGGGAGCAGAGGCAGAGCUGUGGGAAAUGCAAGCCAAGCCUGGGGAGCUGUCCUCACUUCUGGGCUUGGUCUUGCACACAAGCCCUGUUCUUGUUUUGUCCCUCAGGCUUCAAGCACAAGAAGAUGAUAUGUUUCCUACAGGUGUUUCAGCUUGGACGUGUUAUGGGUUGUGCGACUGGAAAAUGUGGUGCACGGCAGUUUUGGGGCUGUCUCUUCACAGGAGUCAAGGGAUCCCUGCCCUUAUAUUCUCUGCUCUGGCUCUGUGUCUGACUGGCUGA